GCUGGAUGAAUAGCUCAGUUGGUAGAGCAUGAGACUCUUAAUGUCAGGGUCGUGGGUUCAAGCCUUAUGUUGGGCA